rnacentral:rRNA from 1 species
CGCCUCCAAGCUAUGGUGAAGGCGCGGCAAACGGCUCAGUAACACGUGGCCAACCUACCCUUGAGACGGAGACAACCCCGGGAAACUGGGGCUAAUCCCCGAUAGGUGAGGAAUCCUGGAAUGGACCCUCGCCCAAAAGACGUUGAGUCCAUGCUAUUCAGCGUCGCCCAAGGAUGGAGCCGCGACCGAUCAGGUAGUUGGUGAGGCAACGGCUCACCAAGCCUAUAACCGGUACGGGCCGUGAGAGCGGGAGCCCGGAGAUGGGCACUGAGACAAGGGCCCAGGCCCUACGGGGCGCAGCAGUUGCGAAAACUCCGCAAUGCGCGAAAGCGUGACGGGGCUACCCCGAGUGCCGCCCGUUGAGGGCGGCUUUUCCACGGUGUAAGGAGCCGUGGGAAUAAGGAGAGGGCAAGACUGGUGUCAGCCGCCGCGGUAAUACCAGCUCUCCGAGUGGUGGGGACGAUUAUUGGGCUUAAAGCGUUCGUAGCCGGCUUAACAAGUCUUCCGUUAAAUCCAACGAUCUAAUCGUUGGGCUGCGGGAGAUACUGUUGGGCUAGGAGGCGGGAGAAGCCGACGGUAUUCUCGGGGUAGGGGUGAAAUCCUGUAAUCCCGGGAGGACCACCAGUGGCGAAGGCGGUCGGCUAGAACGCGCUCGACGGUGAGGGACGAAAGCUGGGGGAGCGAACCGGAUUAGAAACCCGGGUAGUCCCAGCUGUAAACGAUGCGGGCUAGGUGUU